rnacentral:rRNA from 1 species
CUACGGGAUGCUGCAGUGGGGAAUAUUGGACAAUGGACGCAAGCCUGAUCCAGCCAUGCCGCGUGAGUGAUGAAGGCCCUAGGGUUGUAAAGCUCUUUUGUGCGGGAAGAUAAUGACGGUACCGCAAGAAUAAGCCCCGGCUAACUUCGUGCCAGCAGCCGCGGUAAUACGAAGGGGGCUAGCGUUGCUCGGAAUCACUGGGCGUAAAGGGUGCGUAGGCGGGUCUUUAAGUCAGGGGUGAAAUCCUGGAGCUCAACUCCAGAACUGCCUUUGAUACUGAAGAUCUUGAGUUCGGGAGAGGUGAGUGGAACUGCGAGUGUAGAGGUGAAAUUCGUAGAUAUUCGCAAGAACACCAGUGGCGAAGGCGGCUCACUGGCCCGAUACUGACGCUGAGGCACGAAAGCGUGGGGAGCAAACAGGAUUAGAUACCCCUGUAGUC